GUGGGGAAUAUUGCACAAUGGGGGAAACCCUGAUGCAGCGACGCCGCGUGAGUGAAGAAGUAUUUCGGUACGUAAAGCUCUAUCAGCAAGGAAGAAAAUGACGGUACUUGACUAAGAAGCCCCGGCUAACUACGUGCCAGCAGCCGCGGUAAUACGUAGGGGGCAAGCGUUAUCCGGAUUUACUGGGUGGAAAGGGAGCGUAGACGGUAUGGUAAGUCAGAUGUGAAAGCCCGGGGCUCAACCCCGGGACUGCAUUUGAAACUAUCAGACUAGAGUGCAGGAGAGGUAAGUGGAAUUCCUAGUGUAGCGGUGAAAUGCGUAGAUAUUAGGAGGAACACCAGUGGCGAAGGCGGCUUACUGGACUGUAACUGACGUUGAGGCUCGAAAGCGUGGGGAGCAAACAGGAUUAGAUACCCUGGUAGUCC
rnacentral:rRNA from 1 species